rfam:Brassica napus, WGS project CCCW01000000 data, contig: 12750
UUCCCAGCUAAGUUGAUGAGCUAUUUAUCUGAUUCAUGGGAGGCCUAAACCAAAGUUGCAACUUGCAAGUUUAGCUGAUAAUACCUUCUUCUUUUCUUUGAUCACAGAAUGUGGUUUUAUUAGUAACUUAGCUUACAUUU